GAUGAACGCUGGCGGCGUGCCUAAUACAUGCAAGUCGAGCGAACAGACGAGGAGCUUGCUCCUCUGACGUUAGCGGCGGACGGGUGAGUAACACGUGGAUAACCUACCUAUAAGACUGGGAUAACUUCGGGAAACCGGAGCUAAUACCGGAUAAUAUAUUGAACCGCAUGGUUCAAUAGUGAAAGACGGUUUUGCUGUCACUUAUAGAUGGAUCCGCGCCGCAUUAGCUAGUUGGUAAGGUAACGGCUUACCAAGGCAACGAUGCGUAGCCGACCUGAGAGGGUGAUCGGCCACACUGGAACGGAGACACGGUCCAGACUCCUACGGGAGGCAGCAGUAGGGAAUCUUCCGCAAUGGGCGAAAGCCUGACGGAGCAACGCCGCGUGAGUGAUGAAGGUCUUCGGAGCGUAAAACUCUGUUAUGAGGGAAGAACAAAUGUGUAAGUAACUAUGCACGUCUUGACGGUACCUAAUCAGAAAGCCACGGCUAACUACGUG
rnacentral:rRNA from 1 species